UACGGAGGGUGCAAGCGUUAUCCGGAUUCACUGGGUUUAAAGGGUGCGUAGGCGGGCAGGUAAGUCAGUGGUGAAAUCUCCGGGCUUAACCCGGAAACUGCCGUUGAUACUAUCUGUCUUGAAUAUCGUGGAGGUAAGCGGAAUAUGUCAUGUAGCGGUGAAAUGCUUAGAUAUGACAUAGAACACCUAUUGCGAAGGCAGCUUACUACACGAUCAUUGACGCUGAGGCACGAAAGCGUGGGGAGCAAACAGG
rnacentral:rRNA from 1 species